UCAGCUCUCUUCGCCUUUGGCUUAGAUCAAGUGUAGCACAUCUGCUGUCAGUUUAAUCUCUGAUACGUCCUUACGGGGACAUUUUCUUUGAUUACUUGUUUUUGGAACCAGGUCUGGUGGCCGCUGGGCUCUGCCUAAUGUCACCGACCACAGUGUCGCCUGUAUUGCACUGUCUCGGGCUGAUGCGAACCUUU
rnacentral:snRNA from 1 species